AACAUCCUUCAGGGAUGGGUGAAAUUCCCAAUCGGCGGUAAAGCCCGCGAGCCAUUUGGCAGAUUCGGUUAAAUUCCGAAGCCGACAGUUAAAGUCUGGAUGAAAGAAGGAAGCG
rnacentral:ncRNA from 2 species